UAAGCGUGUGAUGAAAUUUUCAGGGCUCAACCCUGAAACUGUUAUGCGAGCUGCAUCGCUAGAGUAUAUGAGGGGGUAGCUGGAAUUCCUAGUGUAGGAGUGAAAUCCGUAGAUAUUAGGAGGAACACCAAUGGCGUAGGCAGGCUACUGGCAUAUUACUGACACUGAGGCACGAAAGCGUGGGGAGCGAACGGGAUUAGAUACCCCGGUAGUCCACGCCGUAAACGAUGGAUGCUA
rnacentral:rRNA from 1 species